CCUACGGGAGGCUGCAGUGGGGAAUAUUGGACAAUGGGGGGAACCCUGAUCCAGCCAUGCCGCGUGUGUGAAGAAGGCCCUCGGGUUGUAAAGCACUUUCAGUGAGGAAGAACGCCUGGUGGUUAAUACCCAUCAGGAAAGACAUCACUCACAGAAGAAGCACCGGCUAACUCCGUGCCAGCAGCCGCGGUAAUACGGAGGGUGCGAGCGUUAAUCGGAAUUACUGGGCGUAAAGCGCGCGUAGGUGGCUUGAUAAGCCGGUUGUGAAAGCCCCGGGCGCAACCUGGGAACGGCAUCCGGAGCUGUCAAGCUAGAGUGCAGGAGAGGAAGGUAGAAUUCCCGGUGUAGCGGUGAAAUGCGUAGAGAUCGGGAGGAAUACCAGUGGCGAAGGAGGCCUUCUGGACUGACACUGACACUGAGGUGCGAAAGCGUGGGUAGCAAACAGGAUUAGAUACCCGUGUAGUC
rnacentral:rRNA from 1 species